AUUAGAUGCAUGAAACAAAAGGAACAAUCAGACCCUAUUGCUUCAAAAUAUGCCACUUAGCUCGUCUAUUACCAUGUACAAAUCCUCUAGUUCAUAAAAGUUUAAAAAACCACAAAAUAUCCACAUCUUUUCUUUAAACAUAAAACGUUUUGGCAAACGUGCAAGGUUCCGAGCAUUGAUCAUUAAAUCCUGUUUCAUUGUAAGCAGAA
rnacentral:misc_RNA from 1 species